CCAGCACUCAUGGUAAGAAUAAGGA
rnacentral:misc_RNA from 1 species